rnacentral:lncRNA from 1 species
AGAGACAGUGUGCCCUUGCAGAGAGAAUACAAAUGAUGGUGUCACAUGUUGAGCACCUGCUAUCUGCUCAGCAGUGAGCCAGACACUUCCAUGGGUGUUGCUAAUUCCCAUCACCAGCUACCAGAUGAGGUCCGGUCAGCCCCAUUUCACAAAUCAGUGACUGAGGCUCAGAGAUGAAAUAAAUGGCCCUAGGUCACACAACUUGCAGGUGGCAGAACCAAGGUGAGUGUCCCUCCAAAGGCUAGAGACCCUCCUCCCAGCAUGUUAGGCUGUAGCUGGACCCUCCAGGCCCACAGACCAUGUGGGUAGCUGGCACCAUCAUCUGAAAGGACCCUAUGCUGGGAGUCUCUCCAAGCCAGCCAAGGCCACCAUCCCUUGCUUCUCUUUCCCACAGACCUCUGAGUCGGGGUAGGGAGUUUGCGAAAGCGAAGGGCCAAUAUCAGGAGAUCGGGGCGCCAUUUCAGGGGGUGAGACCCUGGGCAAGUUGCCUCUCUGGGUCUCAACUUUCUGAUCUGUAAAGUGAGAACGCUACUCGUUGUCUGGCCUGGGUCUCAGGUUGUUGUAUGGACCCAGUGAGAGGAAGUAUCGGAAAUCCUCUGAAGUCUGCGGACAGCUGGAUAAAGGCUUACGGAGGCUUUCAUUUGUGCCAUGUGCUGCAUCUUCCUUCAUGUUCUCUGGGGGAGAGACUGACUGUGGGAAUCAGCCUUGGUUGCAAAGGGAAGCUGAGAGAAGAGAGCAGCGCAGGGCACGGACAUGCCAGCCCAGUUACUGGAGAUAUCUGCCGCUGGAGACGGGUUCAGAGCCUAGUUUAAUAUCCCGAAGCAGGAAAGCUGAGAAUGUGCUGGAAAUGCUUGUUGAGGCCGACGUGUCAGGCAGCCCAUCAGUGCAGGAUGGAGCCUCGGUUGCAGAGAACUGCAGGGAGGUGGUGUGGAAGCUCAUUGGCUGUAAGAACUGCUCCGCUGCGACAGUGCUGCUGGAGGUGGUGGUGAACAGAUUUCUGAUGCCAAGCUGAUCAUCGUCUCAGCACCAGCAAAGACAUGCUAUUCCCGUCCCUGACGAGCAUUUCCUUCUUGAGAAAGUGAUUUUGAGGGGCUGCAGAUGUACUUGGAGGAAGGUUUGGGCCGGGACAGAUGACGUGCCCAUGUGGGAGCUGGACGGCCCCUCUCUGGGUAGCUCCCUGGGAACUCCCAUGUCCGCCUCCCGCUGCCUCCUGAUCCAAGGUGGAUGCACUUCAUUUGAGGCCUGGUCUUUCGUCCUUCCCUCUCCUCUUCGGGGACCACUUUGUCUAGUGCUAGACUCAUUGUGCUUCCCCCUUGGGGCUUCCUUCAGCCCUCAGCCGAUUCAAGACUUCAAAAGGAAGUUGGACAUGGAGAGGAAAAAAGAAAUGAAACCAGGAAGGAACCGCCAAGAAGCACACAACGCGUUUAUGCUGCCUUAACCACACGCUUGACUCUAAAUGGGUUUAAAAAUUCUUACUUGUGUUAGCCCAAGAAAGUUUCUGCAGCCGUCUUUUUGGUUUAAACAAUCAAAUACUCAAUAAUUCUGGGGCUGGUGGGCCAGGAUAUGGGUUACUCAGAUCUUCUGCUUCACCCCAUGCUCGGUCCCUGAGCCAGUUCUGUCAUUGGUUCUUUCAGACCAGGGCAGGAAAAGUCAAGAAAGCAAAAGCGGAUUCUAGGCUGUGGGGUUUGCUGUUUGCUAGCCCCCUGGCAGAGAUGCCUGUCCUUGCAGUCCUGAACUGGUGGCCAAGUGUGCAUGCAUGCACGUGCAGGUGUGUGCAUGUGCAGGUGUGCAUGCGUGUAUGUGCGCACACACAUUCAUGCUUGUACAUGUUUGUGUACACGCACACUUUUUUCUGCUUUCAAUUUCAAGCUGUUGCCUCCCUGAUGUGUCUGUUUAGUGACUUGAGCCAGAAAGAUUCCCGGUUCUAUGUGGGAUGAGAAUGAACGCAGGCAGGUCUCCACAGAAGUGAGUAAAGUAGAGCUGAGAAGAAGGACAUUGUCUCAUGCCAGCCUGUCCAAUAGCCACUUUGCCCCAGCCCUGCCUCAAGCCCCAGAGAGAUGACAAGGCUCUCUCUGUUUGUCGACUCCUUGAAGCUCAGAAAGGUGGGUCAAGAGGUGCCCGUCAAGCGUUUAGGCAAGCACAGGACCCUGAUCUUUACUAAGUCUCCACAUCUCUCUUGCACAGCCCUGGGCUCAGGGCUUGGUCCCCUCUGGGCAGGCCAUCCAGACUAAGUGACAGUCAGAUUGUGUGUGGGGAGGCUAGAGACAUCCAUUCUUCAUGGAUCAGCCUGAAUGGCUGGACAGAUCUUGCAAAUGGAUUGUGUAAGACAGAGUGUGGAAGAGGAGGCUGUGAUCAGUGGCUUGGAGAGCAGAGUGUGGUCAGGCGCUAAACCUAAGGCUUUUCUGGGAAGA